ACCAUAGACUGUGCGUGAAACACUUGGCUGAAGAAGAGUUUGUGUAUUUCUACUGUGUCCCUUCAUAAGAGUGCUUCGUGUUUGAGAAUGUACUCUAUAUAAAGAUGGAUGACUUGUGUCCACUUCCUCCCACAAUCCUGAAAAAAAGCUCAAAUAUUCUGGAUACGAACGUCUUGGGCAUUUGGAGACAGAGGCAUUAAUGAUCGGGGAUGGCGCCACAGCAGCGAGGUCCUGCUGAUACAUCUGCUUGUCCAAUUGAGAGGGACACCGAUAUACAAAAAAAGAAGGAGACUUUAAAGAGGUUGUCCUAUUAAAGGAAGCGAUAGGCAGUCCUUCUCAUUAUCAACCCAUACAGGCACCCGACGUGA